GACGAACGCUGGCGGCGUGCCUAACACAUGCAAGUCGAGCGAUGAAACCCUUCGGGGUGGAUUAGCGGCGGACGGGUGAGUAACACGUGGGUAACCUGCCUCAAAGAGGGGAAUAGCCUCCCGAAAGGGAGAUUAAUACCGCAUAAUAUGUUUUGAUCGCAUGAUCUUGACAUCAAAGGAGUAAUCCGCUUUGAGAUGGACCCGCGGCGCAUUAGCUAGUUGGUGAGGUAACGGCUCACCAAGGCGACGAUGCGUAGCCGACCUGAGAGGGUGAUCGGCCACAUUGGAACUGAGACACGGUCCAGACUCCUACGGGAGGCAGCAGUGGGGAAUAUUGCGCAAUGGGGGAAACCCUGACGCAGCAACGCCGCGUGAAUGAUGAAGGCCUUCGGGUUGUAAAGUUCUGUCUUCUGGGACGAUAAUGACGGUACCAGAGGAGGAAGCCACGGCUAACUACGUGCCAGCAGCCGCGGUAAUACGUAGGUGGCAAGCGUUGUCCGGAUUUACUGGGCGUAAAGGAUGCGUAGGCGGACAUUUAAGACAGAUGUGAAAUACCCGAGCUUAACUUGGGUGCUGCAUUUGAAACUGGGUGUCUAGAGUGCAGGAGAGGUAAGUGGAAUUCCUAGUGUAGCGGU
rnacentral:rRNA from 1 species